GACGAACGCUGGCGGCGUGCCUAAUACAUGCAAGUCGAACGAGAGCGCCCGGUGCUUGCACUGGUCAAUCUAGUGGCGAACGGGUGAGUAACACGUGGGUAACCUGCCCAUCAGAGGGGGAUAACAUCCGGAAACGGAUGCUAAAACCGCAUAGGUCUUCGAGCCGCAUGGCUUGAAGAGGAAAAGAGGCGCAAGCUUCUGCUGAUGGAUGGACCCGCGGUGCAUUAGCUAGUUGGUGAGGUAACGGCUCACCAAGGCCGUGAUGCAUAGCCGACCUGAGAGGGUGAUCGGCCACAUUGGGACUGAGACACGGCCCAAACUCCUACGGGAGGCAGCAGUAGGGAAUCUUCCGCAAUGGACGCAAGUCUGACGGAGCAACGCCGCGUGAGUGAAGAAGGUUUUCGGAUCGUAAAACUCUGUUGUUAGAGAAGAACAAGUGCUAGAGUAACUGUUAGCGCCUUGACGGUAGCUAAACAGAAAGCCACGGCUAACUACGUG
rnacentral:rRNA from 1 species